rnacentral:rRNA from 1 species
GACAGAGGAGCCAAGCGUUGUCCGGAUUGACUGGGCGUAAAGCGCACGCAGGCGGAUGCGCGCGUGGGGUGUGAAAAUCUGGCCGCUUAACGGCCAGGCGCCAUCCCAUACGGCGCGUCUGGAGUGAUGCAGAGGUCGAUGGAAUUGCCGGUGUAGUGGUGAAAUGCGUAGAGAUCGGCAGGAACACCCGGGAAACCAGUCGACGUGG